rnacentral:rRNA from 1 species
CCUACGGGGUGCAGCAGUGAGGAAUAUUGGUCAAUGGGCGGGAGCCUGAACCAGCCAAGUCGCGUGAGGGAAGACGGUCCUACGGAUUGUAAACCUCUUUUGCCGGGGAGCAACGGGGUCCUUGCGAGGGCCCAAUGAGAGUACCCGGAGAAAAAGCAUCGGCUAACUCCGUGCAAGCAGCCGCGGUAAUACGGAGGAUGCGAGCGUUAUCCGGAUUUAUUGGGUUUAAAGGGUGCGUAGGCGGGCUGUUAAGUCAGCGGUCAAUUGUCGGGGCUAAACCUCGGACUGCCGUUGAAACUGGCGGCAUAGAGUGGGCGAGAGGGAUGCGGAAUGCGUGGUGUAGCGGUGAAAUGCAUAGAUAUCACGCAGAACUCCGAUUGCGAAGGCAGCAUACCGGCGCCCUACUGACGCUGAGGCACGAAAGCGUGGGUAUCGAACAGGAUUAGAUACCCUAGUAGUC